UACGGAGGGGGCUAGCGUUGUUCGGAAUUACUGGGCGUAAAGCGCGCGUAGGCGGCUCAUCAAGUCAGGUGUGAAAGCCCGGGGCUCAACCUCGGAUGUGCGCCUGAAACUGGUGAGCUCGAGUCCGGAAGAGGGUGGUGGAAUUCCCAGUGUAGAGGUGAAAUUCGUAGAUAUUGGGAAGAACACCAGUGGCGAAGGCGGCCACCUGGUCCGCGACUGACGCUGAGGCGCGAAAGCGUGGGGAGCAAACAGG
rnacentral:misc_RNA from 1 species